AGCGAACGUUAGCGGCGGGCCUAACACAUGCAAGUCGCACGAGAGGCUUCUUCGGAAGUAGUAAAGUGGCGCACGGGUGCGUAACACGUAGGUAACCUUCCCUUCGAUGGGGGGAUAACGACCCGAAAGGGUCGCUAAUACCGCAUAAGACCACGUCACCUGCGGGUGAUGAGGGAAAAGCAAGCCUCUUCUUGAAAGCUUGCGUCGAAGAAUGGGCCUGCGGCCCAUCAGCUAGUUGGUGAGGUAGUGGCUCACCAAGGCUAAGACGGGUAGCUGGUCUGAGAGGAUGAUCAGCCACACUGGCACUGAAACACGGGCCAGACUCCUACGGGAGGCAGCAGUGGGGAAUAUUGGACAAUGGGCGCAAGCCUGAUCUAGCCAUGCCGCGUGGACGAUGAAGGCCUUAGGGUUGUAAAGUCCUUUCAGAUGGGAAGAUAAUGACGGUACCAUCAGAAGAAGCCCCGGCUAACUCCGUGCCAGCAGCCGCGGUAAAGUG
rnacentral:rRNA from 1 species